GUCGUACGAGAAGCCUCUUCGGAGGUUAGUAAAGUGGCGCACGGGUGAGUAACACGUGGGUAAUCUGCCCUUAGGUUUGGGAUAACCCCGGGAAACCGGAGCUAAUACCGAAUAAGACCACGAUGACUUCGGUCGAUGUGGGAAAAGAUGGCCUCUUCUUGAAAGCUAUCGCCAAUGGAUGAGCCUGCGGUUGAUUAGCUUGUUGGUGAGGUAACGGCUCACCAAGGCGACGAUCAAUAGCUGAUCUGAGAGGAUGAUCAGUCACACUGGAACUGAGACACGGUCCAGACUCCUACGGGAGGCAGCAGUCGGGAAUAUUGGGCAAUGGGCGAAAGCCUGACCCAGCAACGCCGCGUGAAGGAUGAAGGCCCUAGGGUCGUAAACUUCUGUCGAGAGGGAAGAAUGCGUGCGGGUAAAUAAUCCGUACGUUUGACGGUACCUCCAAAGGAAGCACCGGCUAACUCCGUGCCAGCAGCCGCGGUAAUACGGAGGGUGCAAGCGUUGUUCGGAUUUAUUGGGCGUAAAGCGAGUGUAGGCGGUUUGACAAGUCGAAUGUGAAAUCCCGAGGCCCAACCUCGGAACUGCAUCCGAAACUGUCAGGCUAGAGUCCCGGAGAGGGUGGCGGAAUUCCCGGUGUAGGGGUGAAAUCCGUAGAUAUCGGGAGGAACACCAGUGGCGAAGGCGGCCACCUGGACGGUGACUGAC
rnacentral:rRNA from 1 species